rnacentral:rRNA from 1 species
GUUAAAAAGCUCGUAGUUGGAUCUCAACAGCGUGGUGGCGGUCGGCAUGCUUGCCGUUACUGCUGUCUUGCGCUGUGCUUUUUGCUGGAGGGUGGCAGGUGCUCUUAAUCGGGAGUCUGUUGUCGCCAGCAGGUUUACUUUGAAAAAAUUAGAGUGCUCAAAGCAGGCUGUUACGCCUGAAUAUUCGUGCAUGGAAUAAUAGAAUAGGACGUCGAUCCUAUUUUGUUGGUUUUCGGGACUCGACGUAAUGAUUAAUAGGGACAGUCGGGGGCAUUUGUAUUCAAACGACAGAGGUGAAAUUCUUGGACCGUUUGAAGACAAACUACUGCGAAAGCAUUUGCCAAGAAUGUUUUCAUUAAUCAAGAACGAAAGUUAGAGGUUCGAAGGCGAUUAGAUACCGCCCUAGUUCUAACCAUAAACGAUGCCAGCUAGCGAUCUGCCGGCGUUUUCAUUGUA